AAGACCUUGCGUUAAUGGAGCGGCCGAUGUCUGAUUAGCUAGUUGGUGGGGUAAUGGCCUACCAAAGCUUCGAUCAGUAGCUGGUCUGAGAGGACGGCCAGCCACACUGGGACUGAGACACGGCCCAGACUCCUACGGGAGGCAGCAGUGGGGAAUUUUGGACAAUGGGCGCAAGCCUGAUCCAGCCAUGCCGCGUGAGUGAAGAAGGCCUUCGGGUUGUAAAGCUCUUUCAGCCGGGAAGAAAAGGCUGCGACUAAUAAUCGUAGUUCAUGACGGUACCGGAAGAAGAAGCACCGGCUAACUACGUGCCAGCAGCCGCGGUAAUACGUAGGGUGCGAGCGUUAAUCGGAAUUACUGGGCGUAAAGGGUGCGCAGGCGGUCUUGUAAGUCAGAUGUGAAAUCCCCGGGCUUAACCUGGGAACU
rnacentral:rRNA from 1 species